rnacentral:rRNA from 1 species
CCUACGGGAGGCAGCAGUGGGGAAUAUUGCACAAUGGGGGAAACCCUGAUGCAGCGACGCCGCGUGAGUGAAGAAGUAAUUCGUUACGUAAAGCUCUAUCAGCAGGGAAGAAAAUGACGGUACCUGACUAAGAAGCCCCGGCUAACUACGUGCCAGCAGCCGCGGUAAUACGUAGGGGGCAAGCGUUAUCCGGAUUUACUGGGUGGAAAGGGAGCGUAGACGGCAGCACAAGUCUGGAGUGAAAUCCCGGGGCUUAACCCCGGAACUGCUUUGGAAACUGUGCGGCUGGAGUGCAGGAGGGGUAAGCGGAAUUCCUAGUGUAGCGGUGAAAUGCGUAGAUAUUAGGAGGAACACCGGUGGCGAAGGCGGCUUACUGGACUGUAACUGACGUUGAGGCUCGAAAGCGUGGGGAGCAAACAGGAUUAGAUACCCUGGUAGUC